AUACCUUCUCGGCCUUUCGGCCAAGAUCAAGUGUAGUAUCUGUUCUUAUCAAUUUAAUAUUUAAUACGUGGAUCUUCAGAUCCAUCCUAUGAUAUUAAUUCAAUUUUUUAUAGAGGAGGGCCCAUCACAGCAGCUAGCUGCUAGGGCCCUCGAGCGUCGUCAUGGUCUCGCACUAUAGCCUUGAACUGAUGCACCCCAA
rnacentral:snRNA from 1 species